AACGAACGCUGGCGGCAUGCCUAACACAUGCAAGUCGAACGGGAUCCUAGCUUGCUAGGUGAGAGUGGCGGACGGGUGAGUAACACGUGGGAAUCUGCCUUUUGGUUCGGGAUAACCGCGGGAAACUGCGGCUAAUACCGAAUGCCCUCGUGAGAGGAAAGAUUUAUCGCCAGAAGAGGAGCCCGCGUCCGAUUAGGUAGUUGGUGGGGUAAAAGGCCUACCAAGCCGACGAUCGGUAGCUGGUCUGAGAGGAUGAUCAGCCACACUGGGACUGAGAUACGGCCCAGACUCCUACGGGAGGCAGCAGUGGGGAAUAUUGGACAAUGGGGGCGAACCCUCGAUCCAGCAAUGCCGCGUGAGUGAUGAAGGCCUAGGUUGUAAAGCUCUUUGUCCAGGAAGAUGAUGACUGUACCUGGAGAAUAAAGCCCCGGCUAACUUCGUGCCAGCAGCCGC
rnacentral:rRNA from 1 species